GUCCACGCCGUAAACGAUGGGCACUAGGUGUCGGGGGUAUCCACUCCCUCGGUGCCGCCGCUAACGCAUUAAGUGUCCCGCCUGGGAAGUACGGUCGCAAGAUUAAAACUCAAAGGAAUUGACGGGGGCCCGCACAAGCGGUGGAGCAUGUGGUUCAAUUCGAUGCUACGCGAAGAACCUUACCUGGGUUUGACAUCUGGCGAAUUUUUUUGGAAACAGAAAAGUGCCCGCAAGGGAACGCCAAGACAGGUGCUGCAUGGCUGUCGU
rnacentral:rRNA from 1 species